GACGUAGGGUGCAAGCGUUGUCCGGAUUUAUUGGGCGUAAAGAGCUCGUAGGCGGCUUGUUGCGUCGACUGUGAAAACCCGCGGCUUAACCGCGGGCUUGCAGUUGAUACGGGCAGGCUAGAGUUCGGUAGGGGAGACUGGAAUUCCUGGUGUAGCGGUGAAAUGCGCAGAUAUCAGGAGGAACACCGGUGGCGAAGGCGGGUCUCUGGGCCGGUACUGACGCUGAGGAGCGAAAGCGUGGGGAGCAAACAGG
rnacentral:rRNA from 1 species